UGAGUGCAUUUAGUUGCUAUUAGGGGAAAUACUUGUACGCAGUUACAUUUUGAAACCUGCAGUGAGACUGUUCUUAGAUUAUCUGUGGAUCUUAUAGACAUAACAAUCAAUAUUUAAAGUCUGUUUUUUAAAAAGACCAAGAAAAAAAGUUCAUGAAGAAUUAUUCUUUCUUUAUUGAAGACAUCUGAAUGCAGGUGCCUCUGGGAGCCCCAAAAAAUGGACAGCUGCGAUGAUUACCAGUGUAUUGAAUAUGGACUGAAGGAGCUAAAUGUUGUCUGCGACGAGAACAACCCAGUGACACACAACAUAUGUCGAGUGCUUAGGACACUGGAGGAUAUUGUGUACAACAAGAAAACACUGUGUGACCAGCCACUGGCUCUGAGACCAUUUUUGGAGCACAUCAAAAGAGAAUACCAAA